GCCUCCCCUGGGGAGACGCUGACACUGUCAGGCUGGAACCUUCUAUUCCGGCCCAGCCUCUUCCCCCCUUUGCUGCGCCCAGGAGGGAAUUCAGAAGGGACUUUCCAGAGAGCGUUUGCGGGCAGGGUGUGGAAAUGGAAUAAAAGCAUAUGCAAAUCGGCCUUCGAGUGCUUUCCUCCACCCCAUCCAGCAAGGGCCUGUCUCCAGAAGGAUGCCCUUGCUCCAGACACUUGACAGCUCUCCUUCCUUGGAUGGGACCGCGGGCUGAGUGCGGUGCUACAGAAGAGUGAUUCCAUCUGGUUAACAGGCCUUUAAGUGACAAUCCAGCUCCGAGGAGCCGCAGAGAGGCCCAGAAAUGAGUUCCAAAGCGAGCCGAUAAUGACGGCGGGAAGAUGGAGAUCUGGGGGCGCGGACGGACCUGGAC